GACGUAGGGCGCAAGCGUUGUCCGGAUUUAUUGGGCGUAAAGAGCUCGUAGGCGGCCUGUCGCGUCGGAUGUGAAAGCCCGGGGCUUAACCCCGGGUCUGCAUUCGAUACGGGCAGGCUGGAGUGUGGUAGGGGAGAUCGGAAUUCCUGGUGUAGCGGUGAAAUGCGCAGAUAUCAGGAGGAACACCGGUGGCGAAGGCGGAUCUCUGGGCCAUUACUGACGCUGAGGAGCGAAAGCGUGGGGAGCGAACAGG
rnacentral:rRNA from 1 species